AGUGAACGCUGGCGGUAGGCCUAACACAUGCAAGUCGAACGGCAGCACAGUAAGAGCUUGCUCUUACGGGUGGCGAGUGGCGGACGGGUGAGGAAUACAUCGGAAUCUACUUUUUCGUGGGGGAUAACGUAGGGAAACUUACGCUAAUACCGCAUACGACCUACGGGUGAAAGCAGGGGAUCUUCGGACCUUGCGCGAUUGAAUGAGCCGAUGUCGGAUUAGCUAGUUGGCGGGGUAAAGGCCCACCAAGGCGACGAUCCGUAGCUGGUCUGAGAGGAUGAUCAGCCACACUGGAACUGAGACACGGUCCAGACUCCUACGGGAGGCAGCAGUGGGGAAUAUUGGACAAUGGGCGCAAGCCUGAUCCAGCCAUACCGCGUGGGUGAAGAAGGCCUUCGGGUUGUAAAGCCCUUUUGUUGGGAAAGAAAAGCAGCAGGUUAAUACCCCGCUGUCCUGACGGUACCCAAAGAAUAAGCACCGACUAACUUCGUG
rnacentral:rRNA from 1 species